rnacentral:ncRNA from 1 species
UUCUCAUAUAAGGGGUGCCUCAAUAUAACGGGCUGAGAUUAUACCCAUAACCUGAUCCGGGUAAUGCCGGCGGAGGGAACGAAAGAUAGAAAAGA